AAACGAAGGAGGAGCGGCUUUGUGGAUGGCCGUCUAACGGUGUAGGGGCAACCCGAGACCGGAAUGCGAGGGAUGCGGGGCAACCCAAAACCCGAGUUCUCUGGAGUCGACAGGCGAGAAAAGCUGAUGGCGGAGUUUAUAGAUGUCCGUACCGGAAACCGACACAGGUGGGUGAGGCGAGCAGCCUCAGGUGAACGAGUGAAACGUGGUCAAGGAACUCGGCAUAAUGAUCCCGUAACUUCGGAAGAAGGGAUGCCAGAGAGGGUGUAGGGUACACCGAAGCUCUCCCUGGUCGCAGCGAAUCGGCCCAAGCGACUGUUUAGCAAAAACACAGGUGUGUGCCAAGCCGCACAAGGCGCCGUAUACACACUGACGCCUGCCCGGUGCCGGAAGGUUAAGGGGAGAGGUUAGCCGCAAGGCGAAGCUUUGAGCCGAAGCCCCGGUAAACGGCGGCCGUAACAAUAACGGUCCUAAGGUAGCGAAAUUCCUUGUCGGGUAAGUUCCGACCUGCACGAAUGGCGUAACGACUUGGGCACUGUCUCGACCACGUGCUCGGCGAAAUGGCAGUCUCGGUGAGGAUUCCGAGUCCCCGCGACAGGACAAAAAGACCCCAUGCACCUUUACUGUAGCUUGUCAUUGGUCGUUGCACAUCGCUGUGUAGCAUAGGUGGGAGGCGUUGAUCCGUGGGCGCUAGCUUACGGGGAGCCAUCAGUGAAAUACCACCCUGCGUCGUGCGACGCCCUCACCACGGCGGGAACACCCCGUCUGGGACCGUGGCAGGUGGGCAGUUUGACUGGGGCGGUCGCCUCCGAAACAGUAACGGAGGCGCGCGCAAGGUUGGCUCAGCGCGGACGGUACUCGCGCUUCUAGAGUGUAACGGCAGAAGCCAGCCUGACGGUGAGAUCGACGGAUCGAGCCGCCACGAAAGUGGGCCGUAGUGAUCCGGUAGCCCGGGGUGGAGCGGCUAUCGCGCAACGGAUAAAAGGUACGCUGGGGAUAACAGGCUUAUCGCGCCCGAGAGUUCACAUCGACGGCGCGGUUUGGCACCUCGAUGUCGGCUUAUCACAUCCUGGGGCUGGAGAAGGUCCCAAGGGUCCGGCUGUUCGCCGGUUAAAGUGGUACAUGAGCUGGGUUCAGAACGUCGUGAGACAGUUCGGUCUGUAUCCGUCGUGGGCGUUGGAGAGUUGAGGGGAGCGGACUCUAGUACGAGAGGACCGAGUCGGACGACCCGCUCGUGUCCCGGUUGUCCUGCCAAGGGCACCGCCGGGUAGCGAUGGUCGGCUGUGAUAACCGCUGAAAGCAUCUAAGUGGGAAGCACGCCCCAAGAUGAACUCUCCCGAGGCCUUGAGCCUCUUGAAGGGCCGGGGAAGACCACCCCGUCGAUAGGCCGCCCGUGGACGUCCCGCAAGGGAUUCCAAGCGCAGCGGUCCUAAUCGCCCGUAUGGCUUGACUAC
rnacentral:rRNA from 1 species